ensembl:lncRNA novel transcript
AUCACCUGGUGCCCGGCUCGCGCGGUCAGCCCUGCGCGGCGCUUCUCUCUUUUUAUUCUUUUGCCUGCGACGGGCAGUGGGAGUCGCGGGGUGAAGACUCCUUUGAGGCUGGAGGGUUCGGGGCGUCCCUGCCCUUUGGUAGGACACUGCGGCUCCUGCCUGGGACUCGGCGCCGGCGAGCCCGUGCUUGGGCCGCGGGUCUCAGGCGUCUUUUGGGCAGCCACAUUGGGUCAUAAGAGAAUGAGCUCAAGCGACUGGGUCCCUGAGCGCCUUUGGACGUUGUGUCCUGCCGAGGAGGCUUAGGCUUUCCCGUGGGUCGAGGGUCCUGGUGACCUCCGAGGCCCUCCAAAGAAUUUCAUCAUGGUGCUUUGGAUGAUCAGUAACAAGAAAAAUGAAAUUCUGGAUUGAGGAUGAGCAGUCCAGGAAUGACCUCUCUACAACUAGAGAAAGAAGAAUGCAUGCAAUGUGUUCCCUGUAGUCCAAGAACCAGGGUAGCCCUGCUGGAGCUCUACAGAGCCAUGUGCCA